CGCGCAUGAAUGGAUUAACGAGAUU
rnacentral:ncRNA from 8 species